AUAAAGGUCUACAAAGGAGUGCAUGUCGGUCCCUUUUUCUUUUCAGUGUCGUCAAAUCGAAUCUCUCAACCAUGUUUUAUUUGAAUGCCUUCUUGCAGUCCAAGUUUGGUAGUGAAGUAAUAUUGAUUUAUCCAAUAUUAAUGAGACUGAGUUGAUGAUUUAUCUACUGAAUAUUGCGGAUUAUGACAAAGACUAGAAGGUUUUGGAAUGGUGUUUGGAUAGAGUUUAAGCACAUGUUAUAUCAUACUAGAAUGUAAUUAAAUGACAGAUGCCAUCAGUUGCUUCUUGGUUAAAAUGCAACAUUGAUGCUGUAGCUAGUUGUGCAAGGCUCGAGUAGGGAUAUGGCAUUAUUAUUCGAAACGAGAAAGGUGCCUUCAUCAAAGGGCUCACUGGCCACGUUCAUGGAACUGAUGUUGUUGUUAUGGUAGAAGCCUUGGCUAUUCGAGAAGUGCUUUCUUGGUUGAAAGUUUGCAUCUUGACAUAGUGAUUAUUGAGAUGGAUUGCCUUGAAGUUUACCGUGCUAUUUUCACAUCAAACUGAGUUUGAAAAUAUUAUUAGAUAUUGCGUUUCGAUUAUAAAUUAACUCAACAAUGUGUCGUUGUUUUGAGUACUCAGGAAAGCUAAUAAAGCGACUCAUGCUUUAGCAGGGGUAGCUUUAUCUUAUACUCGUCUGCAUAAUUGGAAACUUUACUCAGCCUUCUUAUCUGAUGUUCUUUCUGUUGUUGCUUUGAUAAAAAAUGUAGGAUUAUACAAGAGUGGUAUAGGGAGAACCUGUUGGCUUGGGUUAGUUUGUUCUUAACCCUCAUUUCUUUGUUGAUUUGUUUUGUUUAAUACAGGUAUUUUACCUUUGAAAAAACAAA